rnacentral:rRNA from 1 species
GUUUGUGGCCAUACCGGAUUGUCAAAAGCCUGAUGUUGUCAGAUCUCACAUCUCAGAGCCUAAGCAAGACCGGGCCUGGUUAGAACGUGGAUGGGGGACUGCUGGGAAUACCAGGUGCCACAGUGG